AACACAUGCAAGUCGAACGGGCGUAGCAAUACGUCAGUGGCAGACGGGUGAGUAGCACGUGGGAACGUACCUCUUGGUUCGGAACAACACAGGGAAACUUGUGCUAAUACCGGAUAAGCCCUUACGGGGAAAGAUUUAUCGCCGAGAGAUCGGCCGGCGUCUGAUUAGCUAGUUGGUAGGGUAAUGGCCUACCAAGGCGACGAUCAGUAGCUGGUCUGAGAGGAUGAUCAGCCACACUGGGACUGAGACACGGCCCAGACUCCUACGGGAGGCAGCAGUGGGGAAUAUUGGACAAUGGGCGAAAGCCUGAUCCAGCAAUGCCGCGUGAGUGAUGAAGGCCUUGGGGUUGUAAAGCUCUUUUGUGCGGGAAGAUAAUGACGGUACCGCAAGAAUAAGCCCCGGCUAACUUCGUGCCAGCCGCCGCGGUAAUUC
rnacentral:rRNA from 1 species